GUACACGCUGUGACUAGCAUAUCAAUAAGCGGAGGAAAAGAAACUAACAAGGAUUCCCCUAGUAACGGCGAGUGAAGCGGGAAGAGCUCAAAUUUGAAAUCUUAAAGGGUUUCCCUUUACGAAUUGUAGUUUAAAGAAGUGUUUUCUGUUGAGGUUUUGGUAAAAGUUCUUUGGAAUAGGACAUCAUAGAGGGUGAGAAUCCCGUAUUUGACCUUUACUUUCAACUUUGUGAUACACUUUCAAAGAGUCGGAUUGUUUGGGAAUGCAGUCCAAAAUGGGUGGUAAAUUUCAUCUAAAGCUAAAUAUUGGCGAGAGACCGAUAGCGAACAAGUACCGUGAGGGAAAGAUGAAAAGGACUUUGAAAAGAGAGUUAAACAGUACGUGAAAUUGUCAAAAGGGAAGCGUUUGACACCAGUGUUGUUUUUCUGAAAAUCAAUUAAAGAACUGUUUAUGCUAAGUUGUUUAGACUUUAUCAGCUAACUGUUUAGUUUUGAGCUUUUCUUUAAUGCACUUUUCAGUUAACAAGUCAACAUCAAUUUCUUUUGCUGUAAAAAAGCUUGAGGAAGGUGGCUUGAGAUUCGUCUUAAGUGUUUAUAGCCUCUUGCCUAUGCAGUCGGAGAGAUUGAGGUCUGCAGCGUAGAUCCUUCGGGGCUAAAUGCAUUUGUGCUAAGUUAUAGCAUUUUAUAGACAACUUUGUUGACUAUGAUUUGUCUUGUAGCUUACUCGCUUAUGUUAUUUUACCUACGCUUAGGAUGUUGACAGCAGUAUAGACUGU
rnacentral:rRNA from 1 species